rnacentral:tRNA from 1 species
GGUCCCCUGGCUCAGUUGGUAGAGCACAGCGCUUACAACAGCGUGAUUGUGGGUUUGAUUCCCGCUGGGACCA